rnacentral:rRNA from 1 species
ACUCAAAGGAAUUGACGGGGACCCGCACAAGCGGUGGAUGAUGUGGAUUAAUUCGAUGCAACGCGAAGAACCUUACCUACCCUUGACAUGUACGGAAGCUGGGUGAGAGCUCAGUGUGCCCGAAAGGGAGCCGUAACACAGGUGCUGCAUGGCUGUCGUCAGCUCGUGUCGUGAGAUGUUGGGUUAAGUCCCGCAACGAGCGCAACCCUUGCCACUAGUUGCCACUUUAACCGGGGCACUCUAGUGGGACUGCCGGUGACAAACCGGAGGAAGGUGGGGAUGACGUCAAGUCCUCAUGGCCCUUAUGGGUAGGGCUUCACACGUCAUACAAUGGCGCAUACAGAGGGUAGCCAACCCGCGAGGGGGAGCCAAUCUCAGAAAGUGCGUCGUAGUCCGGAUUGCAGUCUGCAACUCGACUGCAUGAAGUCGGAAUCGCUAGUAAUCGCGGAUCAGCAAUGCCGCGGUGAAUACGUUCCCGGGUCUUGUACACACCGCCCGU